UACAGAGGGUGCGAGCGUUGUCCGGAAUCACUGGGCGUAAAGGGCGCGUAGGUGGCGGCAUAAGGCUGUGGUGAAAGUCUGGGGCUCAACUCCAGAUCGGCCGCGGCGACUGUGUCGCUUGGGCACCGUAGAGGCAGAUGGAAUUCCGGGUGUAGCGGUGGAAUGCGCAGAUAUCAGGAGGAACACCGGUGGCGAAGGCGGGUCUCUGGGCAGUAACUGACGCUGAGGAGCGAAAGCGUGGGGAGCGAACAGG
rnacentral:rRNA from 1 species